rnacentral:lncRNA from 1 species
UAAAGCCUCUUUUCUCCAGCUCCCUCUCCUUCCAGUGUUAUCUAUGCACUUGGCUUUUUUGACCUUUGGGAAUUUAAUAUUCACCCCACCCUGAGCCCCACACCACUUAUGUACAUAUAUAAAGUUAUGUAUUAUAAAUUAUUCGUUUAUACUGUCUGUUGUCCACUACAGAAUGUAAACUCAUUGUGGGCAGGGAAUGUGGUUAUGAACUCUAUUGUAUUGUACUCUCCCAAGGGCUUAGUAUAGUGCUCUGCACAGAGUAAGUGCUCAGUAAAUCUACUGAUUGAUUGUUGGAUCAGCACGACAAAUACUUGCAAAAAUAAAUUUAGCACAGAAAGAGUUUUCAGGAACUGGGGAGAAAGGAAGGCAAUUCAGGAGUGCAGAAGAAGGGCCAAGAAAACUGAGAGAAUAGGGAUAAGCCAACUAGGAAGAACAGUGUAGAUCUACUUUUCUGAUGAAUUCACUCAAGCUGUGACCAAGGUUUAAUCACUUAAUAAAGCAAUUAUCUCUAUCUGACUGUUAUGGAACUGUUUUACAGGAGACAGGACUAUUGCAGGGACAAAUAGUAGACCUGAAUUUGUAGAAUGAAAAAGGAAACUGCCUCCAUAAGCUUGAAUUAAUGGAGAGAUACCCAAGUAAAAUAUUAGGUAUGCAGGAUACUCUUUUUCAGUCAUUUAAAGAAAAAAAAUCGGGAGUAAAACGCAAGACCAUAAAACUUUAGCUGGGUUGUUUUUGGGGUUGUUUUUCUAUUAAUUUCUCUCAAGCUGCAGGUGAAAGAUUGAUUCUGAGGAGGUAGAUGGUAAGAGUCAGGUUGGCUCUUUUCUGUGCUCAUCCUCGAAACCCAUAAUGACAUCUUUCUUAGCACAGGAAAUUGUGCCCUGAACAGCUUCACCCCAGGAUAGGGCCCGAACUCUGGAGACUGGUGACAUCACAAUUCCAUGUGUUCUACAACAGAACAGGUUGUGGGGGCCAUCACUGGGCAACGGCGUGCCCUCGGCUGAGACUCGAUAAAGUUUCCCAGGUGGAAGAUGUAGAAUCGAUGGGCUCCCACUUUCACUGGAAAAUGCUCUGUGGACAGAGCAGCAUUAGCUCAGCUCUUCUUUGUUCUCACCCAGCUUUACAGUUGGAGGGCGGCACGACCUCCUCAAAUGCCUCACCAUCCAGGACUGUUUUCCCUGCCUUCUGUUGAUGUGGAAGGGUAUGAUGCAGGAGUGAAGCUAAAUCUUCGGUUGCUCCUCCUCGGCUGCCUCCAGCAAAUACUCCUACACUGAAUGCCAGAGCACUUCCUGCCUGUAAGCAAAGCAAAUCCCGCCUAUCUAGACUGUGUCUGUCUCCCCCUUUAGACCGUGAGCUCGCUGUAGGCAGGAAAGUGUCUGUUUGUUGAUCUAUUGUACUCUCCCAAGCAUUUGUUUCUUACUACAGUGCUUUGCACACAGUAAGCACUCAAUAAAUAUGAUUCAUUGAAUGAAUAAAUGAAUGAUGAUUCCCCCAAAAUGAGCUGCCGAAGAGGAAUUUUUAAAGAUGGUAAUCAUCCAGCCCUUCCCAUAAUGGCUACUAUGCCACUUUUCUUCACAAAUGGCCACGUGAUGGUAGGUACCCUUUGGUGAAAAUGCUACCAGGUUCCUUCUCUCAAAGAUGGUACUGCCAAUAGCUAUUUCAUAGGAGGACUUCCUGUUGUUGUCUUAUGCUGUUGAGUUGUGUCCGACACAAAGCAAUGCCAUGGACACAUCUCUCCCAGAAUGCCCCACCUCCAUCUAUAAUUGUUCUGGUAGUGUAUCCAUAGAGUUUUCUUGGUAAAAAUACGGAAGUGGUUUACCAUUGCCUUCUUUUGCACGGUAAAUCUGAGUCUCCACCCUCAACACCCCCUCCCCCCAUGCUGCUGCUGCCCAGGAUGGGUGAGUUUAGACUUAUAGCAGAUUGCCUUACACUUGCUAGCCACUGCCCAAGCUAAGAAUGGAAUGGGUAGGCCUCUGCUUGACUCUCCUUCCCAUAGUCGAUACUGGUAGAGUACUGGAAACUCUCCAGGUGCGACCCUGAGAGGUGCACAGGUGGGGUACUUGUGGUUUAUUUGUUGGGUGUGAGGUUGGGUCUCUGAGUCAAGAUGUUGAGGAGCUUUUUUGAGGAAGCAGCAUGACAUUUUUAGACUAGGAGCAUCUUUUGGACAUCCCACCCCACCCUAUGUAGGUCUACAUUUCCUUUGUCAUGGUUCUAUAGGCAAACUCUGCUUUAUUACAUAUUUGCUGCACCAUUUGACCUCCUCAGUGAUUACAAGGAAAUAUGGAUUGCCUCACUUCCAAAAGCCUCAAAAUAUUAGAAAAUCAUGAUCAGCAGAGGGGGUGAUUUUCAGGUUUUAGCCUUUCUCCCUUUAAUAUUUUGAGAGAUUUUCUGAAAUUGCCCCUUGCUUCAACCCCUCCCCAGAAAGCCUUCCUCAACGAAAGGCAAGCUUGAAACAAACAACUUGCAGACAAGAGGAUGCAGCAGA